UUGAAAAUGAGGUUUUCUCUAGUCAAAAACUACAACUCAAAUCAGAGUGGGCUUUAAGAUCGAAAGCCUCCAGAAUUGAAGCUCACAGAUCAACAACUGAUUUGUGCAAACUUCAAACUACAAGUUGUUUUAUAUCUAAGUAGAAUGUAUAUAUUUAGAAACCAGCAAAUAUGGUACUAUGAAAAAAAUCAUUUGGUAGCUACUGACAAGAUAACAUCAAUAACUUUUCUUCUCCGUCCUGCCAGGAUUUUAGAUACAAACCUCAAUGAGAAAUGGUAGUAAACCAUUGUCCUGCUUAAUCUCCAAGGUCAGCAAGUGAAAACUUUGUUUAGUUUCACUAAAAACAUAGAGACAAUUAGAUAACUAUUAAACUAAACAUUUAUCAUAAUGCUUUGACUUCAUACAGUAAAUUGUUGGAAUCUGUGCAAUGCUCAUUUGAUAACCAUAGUGUACUUUGAAAUGUAUUUGUAUUUCCGAGGGCAUGGUGGUGCAUGCUUUCAAUCUCAGCAGAGGCAGGCAGACUUUGUACUCUACAGAGUCGGUUCUAAUAUAUCCUAGGAAGCACAGAGAAACCAUGCCCUUCCCCCACAAAGACCAACAAAACAACACCAAAAAAUUAUAAUUAAUGAUUGUUUGAACAAAUCAGUGAGUUUUAACAUUAAAGACUUCAAUCGACAUUAAAACCCCAAUUAAACAAGCAAGCAUGUUGAUGGAUAAAAGCUUUCUGUACAUGAAAUUGUUGAAAACAUCCUUGUUAAAAUUCUACCCAUUCUUAUUUGCAACCCAAAGCUAGGGUUUCCCAAAGCAGUGUGAGGUUGCUGGUCUGUCACUCUUUGUAUGGUUCUAAAAAUUUCUUGUUACUAUCAUUUUAUGGAAAUUACAUUUAAGUGCCUCUGUCAUUUUUUUCCUAUCCUACUGACAAUGCUCACCAAAUAAAUAUUUGUCCUGUUGCUUUCUGAGAAGUGUUUCCUGAUGUGUUUGGUGGUCAGUGGAGCACUAGCAUCAUUAACCAAUGACUAUAAACAAACUAAUCUUUGGUAAGACAAAUAAAAUAUUAGUCCCAUUUCCUUUUUCUAUUUGUUUUUGCUCCCUUCCUCCCAACUGCUUGGAAAAUUUUGAUGUGCAUUUUAGUACGUGUAAGAGAGUUGUAAGGUAUUAGAAACUUCUAUCAAGUGCUUAGAAUCUAAGACUCAAGUGUGGUCAAAAAUUAUCUGAAUUCUUCUUCAGAAUGAUGUGAUUUCUGCCUGACCCUUUCUUUAGAGAGUAUUAAGGUUUCAUAUAGACCAGGGCUCUUUAUUAGACUGGACAGCUUUCUAGCACUUACUCCUAGGAAUCAGGUUCUCUGAUCAACUUGGAUUCUAUUUAUUCAAUUACUAUUGUCAUUAAAUGUUUUAAGGGCCUUAGAGAUGGCCCAGCAAUCAAGUGCAUGUUUUUAUUGCAGAGGACUCCCGUUCACUUCCCAGCACACACAUGGCUGCUCAUAACUCUGAAUAAGUCCAUUUCCAGGGGAUCUAAUAUCCUCUUCUGACCUCUGCAGGCAACUCGAUCGCAUGUAGUGCAUAGACCUUCAGGCAAAACACUCAUUCACAAAAAUAAUAUAAAUGAAAAUGUAUUUUUAAGAAGUACAAUUACUACUUUCUGUGUAUGUUAUUUUGAACUUAAGUACCUUUGUCAGUUUCCAUGGUAGAAGGCACUGUGUAUGACUGGUGUUAGAAUGCAUAGGUCUUUACAUCCACCUCAACCUCUCCAGCUGAUUUUUUCCUUCCUUCCAUAUUCUGAAAUUCCUUGAUGGCUUUUUAAAAAUAUCGUAGUGAACUGAUAAUUAUAGAUAUGGCCAAAACAGUAGUUGGGGUGUUCCCCAACAGAUGUACUUCCUCGGAAUUCUGGGAAUGAAGUUGUAGUAAGUGGUUAUGAGACUGAAACAGCUAUCAUAACAUCUGGGAGUUAAUGAAUGCUUCUGUCUCAUUCUCGAUGUGUUUGCUGCUUUACUAUUAAGGAUGUCAAUAACAAAAUACUUCCAAGCCUUAUAGGCUACGUGUGAAUAGCUGCUGAAAAUUAUCUACCUUUUUUGAUAAAUAAUAUAAUCUUGGCAUUUAUUGAUGUU
rnacentral:lncRNA from 1 species